rnacentral:misc_RNA from 1 species
AACGCACCUUGCACCUCUUGGUAUUCCGAGAGGUACACCUGUUUGAGUGUCAUGAAUUCAUCCGCUUUUAUAUCCUUGCAUACAAAAGUCGGGACUUGGAGGGCUGCAAUAGAUAUUCGUUGCUCCUCUUGAAUGUAUUAGUGAAGCCUUUAGUUGUAGCCUUUGGCGUGAUAUAACAGUAAUGCCAGUCGGCAGAUAGGGGCUUUUCACUUGGAGCCUUGAAUUAGGGGCUAUCCCCACGGAUAGGGGCACAUACACCCCCCGCAUACUCUUUGACCUCAAAUCAGGUGGGACUACCCGCUGAACUUAA